AUAUAUAGCAGAAGAACAAAAUAAGAGAAGGUUACAACUUAUAAAAAAAUGGCAUCGACAAAAGUGGUAUUGUUUCCUCCUUUCAAACCCCAAAAGCUUCAUCUCUUGCAGGAAUUAUCAUCAUUUCCUUCACCACAGAAAUGGGCAGCUCACCAGUUCAGAGUCCAUGCCACCUCAGGUGAAUACUACUAUGGUCAACCCAAUUUCCCCACUUGUUUAUCUAUGGUUUCUUGAAGGUGCCCCCCUUUCACUAGUACAGGAGGAGGAGAUGGAGAGCUGAAGCCAAAAGAUAAGAAGAAGUUCAUAACCAAAGACCAGGAGCCAGAACAGUAAGAACAGUCUGAAAACUUUCAUCUCUUUUGAACAAUAGUCUACAACUUUCUGGUAAAUGUGGACCGAUCAUAAUUAGAACUGAUGACAGUAAAAAAGAGUGACAAUCUGGGUUUGACUUACUUACAGGUACUGGCAAACAGCAGGAGAAAGGGAAGGAG
rnacentral:lncRNA from 1 species